CCUACGUGAGGCAGCAGUAGGGAAUCUUGCUCAAUGGGGGAAACCCUGACGCAGCAACGCCGCGUGGAGGAUGAAGGUUUUCGGAUUGUAAACUCCUUUUGUUAGAGAAGAUAAUGACGGUCUCUAACGAAUAAGCACCGGCUAACUCCGUGCCAGCAGCCGCGGUAAUACGGAGGGUGAGAGCGUUACUCGGAAUCACUGGGAGUAACGAGCGCGUAGGCGGGAUAGCAAGUCAGAUGUGAAAUCCUAUGGCUUAACCAUAGAACUGCAUUUGAAACUGUUAUUCUAGAGUAUGGGAGAGGUAGGUGGAAUUCUUGGUGUAGGGGUAAAAUCCGUAGAGAUAAAGAGGAAUACUCAUUGCGAAGGCGACCUGCUAGAACAUAACUGACGCUGAUGCGCGAAAGCGUGGGGAGCAAACAGGAUUAGAUACCCGGGUAGUC
rnacentral:rRNA from 1 species